GACGAACGCUGGCGGCGUGCUUAACACAUGCAAGUCGAACGAUGAAGCCGGAGCUUGCUCCGGUGGAUUAGUGGCGAACGGGUGAGUAACACGUGAGCAAUCUGCCCUUGACUCUGGGAUAAGUGCGGGGAACUGUAGCAAAUACCGGAUACGACACCUUGGGGCAUCCCAGGGUGUGGGAAGAAUUUCGGUCAAGGGUUAGCUCGCGGCCGAUCAGCUAGUUGGUGAGGUAAUGGCUCACCAAGGCGACGACGGGUAGCCGGCCUGAGAGGGUGACCGGCCACACUGGAACUGAGACACGGUCCAGACUCAUACGGGAGGCAGCAGUGGGGAAUAUUGCACAAUGGGCGAAAGCCUGAUGCAGCAACGCCGCGUGAGGGAUGAAGGCCUUCGGGUUGUAAACCUCUUUUAGCAGGGAAGAAGCGAAAGUGACGGUACCUGCAGAAAAAGCACCGGCUAACUACGUGCCAGCCGCCGCCGUAA
rnacentral:rRNA from 1 species